rnacentral:rRNA from 1 species
UACGUAGGGUGCAAGCGUUGUCCGGAAUUAUUGGGCGUAAAGAGCUCGUAGGCGGUUUGUUGCGUCGGCUGUGAAAUCCCGAGGCUCAACCUCGGGUCUGCAGUCGAUACGAGCAAACUAGAGUGUUGCAGGGGAGACUGGGAAUUCCUGGUGUAGCGGUGAAAUGCGCAGAUAUCAGGAGGAACACCGGUGGCGAAGGGCGGGGUCUCUGGGGCAACAACUGACGCUGAGGAGCGAAAAGCCGUGGGGGAGCGAACAGG